rnacentral:tRNA from 1 species
GUGGGGUUAGCAAAGCGGCCAUGCACCGGAUUGCAAACCCGGCUAGACCAGUUCGACUCUGGUACCCCACUCCA